UUAAGCGACUAAGCGUACACGGUGGAUGCCCUGGCAGUCAGAGGCGAUGAAGGACGUGCUAAUCUGCGAUAAGCGUCGGUAAGGUGAUAUGAACCGUUAUAACCGGCGAUUUCCGAAUGGGGAAACCCAGUGUGUUUCGACACACUAUCAUUAACUGAAUCCAUAGGUUAAUGAGGCGAACCGGGGGAACUGAAACAUCUAAGUACCCCGAGGAAAAGAAAUCAACCGAGAUUCCCCCAGUAGCGGCGAGCGAACGGGGAGCAGCCCAGAGCCUGAAUCAGUGUGUGUGUUAGUGGAAGCGUCUGGAAAGGCGCGCGAUACAGGGUGACAGCCCCGUACACAAAAAUGCACAUGCUGUGAGCUCGAUGAGUAGGGCGGGACACGUGGUAUCCUGUCUGAAUAUGGGGGGACCAUCCUCCAAGGCUAAAUACUCCUGACUGACCGAUAGUGAACCAGUACCGUGAGGGAAAGGCGAAAAGAACCCCGGCGAGGGGAGUGAAAAAGAACCUGAAACCGUGUACGUACAAGCAGUGGGAGCCUCUUUAUGGGGUGACUGCGUACCUUUUGUAUAAUGGGUCAGCGACUUAUAUUCUGUAGCAAGGUUAACCGAAUAGGGGAGCCGAAGGGAAACCGAGUCUUAACUGGGCGUUAAGUUGCAGGGUAUAGACCCGAAACCCGGUGAUCUAGCCAUGGGCAGGUUGAAGGUUGGGUAACACUAACUGGAGGACCGAACCGACUAAUGUUGAAAAAUUAGCGGAUGACUUGUGGCUGGGGGUGAAAGGCCAAUCAAACCGGGAGAUAGCUGGUUCUCCCCGAAAGCUAUUUAGGUAGCGCCUCGUGAAUUCAUCUCCGGGGGUAGAGCACUGUUUCGGCAAGGGGGUCAUCCCGACUUACCAACCCGAUGCAAACUGCGAAUACCGGAGAAUGUUAUCACGGGAGACACACGGCGGGUGCUAACGUCCGUCGUGAAGAGGGAAACAACCCAGACCGCCAGCUAAGGUCCCAAAGUCAUGGUUAAGUGGGAAACGAUGUGGGAAGGCCCAGACAGCCAGGAUGUUGGCUUAGAAGCAGCCAUCAUUUAAAGAAAGCGUAAUAGCUCACUGGUCGAGUCGGCCUGCGCGGAAGAUGUAACGGGGCUAAACCAUGCACCGAAGCUGCGGCAGCGACGCUUAUGCGUUGUUGGGUAGGGGAGCGUUCUGUAAGCCUGUGAAGGUGUGCUGUGAGGCAUGCUGGAGGUAUCAGAAGUGCGAAUGCUGACAUAAGUAACGAUAAAGCGGGUGAAAAGCCCGCUCGCCGGAAGACCAAGGGUUCCUGUCCAACGUUAAUCGGGGCAGGGUGAGUCGACCCCUAAGGCGAGGCCGAAAGGCGUAGUCGAUGGGAAACAGGUUAAUAUUCCUGUACUUGGUGUUACUGCGAAGGGGGGACGGAGAAGGCUAUGUUGGCCGGGCGACGGUUGUCCCGGUUUAAGCGUGUAGGCUGGUUUUCCAGGCAAAUCCGGAAAAUCAAGGCUGAGGCGUGAUGACGAGGCACUACGGUGCUGAAGCAACAAAUGCCCUGCUUCCAGGAAAAGCCUCUAAGCAUCAGGUAACAUCAAAUCGUACCCCAAACCGACACAGGUGGUCAGGUAGAGAAUACCAAGGCGCUUGAGAGAACUCGGGUGAAGGAACUAGGCAAAAUGGUGCCGUAACUUCGGGAGAAGGCACGCUGAUAUGUAGGUGAGGUCCCUCGCGGAUGGAGCUGAAAUCAGUCGAAGAUACCAGCUGGCUGCAACUGUUUAUUAAAAACACAGCACUGUGCAAACACGAAAGUGGACGUAUACGGUGUGACGCCUGCCCGGUGCCGGAAGGUUAAUUGAUGGGGUUAGCGGUAACGCGAAGCUCUUGAUCGAAGCCCCGGUAAACGGCGGCCGUAACUAUAACGGUCCUAAGGUAGCGAAAUUCCUUGUCGGGUAAGUUCCGACCUGCACGAAUGGCGUAAUGAUGGCCAGGCUGUCUCCACCCGAGACUCAGUGAAAUUGAACUCGCUGUGAAGAUGCAGUGUACCCGCGGCAAGACGGAAAGACCCCGUGAACCUUUACUAUAGCUUGACACUGAACAUUGAGCCUUGAUGUGUAGGAUAGGUGGGAGGCUUUGAAGUGUGGACGCCAGUCUGCAUGGAGCCGACCUUGAAAUACCACCCUUUAAUGUUUGAUGUUCUAACGUUGACCCGUAAUCCGGGUUGCGGACAGUGUCUGGUGGGUAGUUUGACUGGGGCGGUCUCCUCCUAAAGAGUAACGGAGGAGCACGAAGGUUGGCUAAUCCUGGUCGGACAUCAGGAGGUUAGUGCAAUGGCAUAAGCCAGCUUGACUGCGAGCGUGACGGCGCGAGCAGGUGCGAAAGCAGGUCAUAGUGAUCCGGUGGUUCUGAAUGGAAGGGCCAUCGCUCAACGGAUAAAAGGUACUCCGGGGAUAACAGGCUGAUACCGCCCAAGAGUUCAUAUCGACGGCGGUGUUUGGCACCUCGAUGUCGGCUCAUCACAUCCUGGGGCUGAAGUAGGUCCCAAGGGUAUGGCUGUUCGCCAUUUAAAGUGGUACGCGAGCUGGGUUUAGAACGUCGUGAGACAGUUCGGUCCCUAUCUGCCGUGGGCGCUGGAGAACUGAGGGGGGCUGCUCCUAGUACGAGAGGACCGGAGUGGACGCAUCACUGGUGUUCGGGUUGUCAUGCCAAUGGCACUGCCCGGUAGCUAAAUGCGGAAGAGAUAAGUGCUGAAAGCAUCUAAGCACGAAACUUGCCCCGAGAUGAGUUCUCCCUGACUCCUUGAGAGUCCUGAAGGAACGUUGAAGACGACGACGUUGAUAGGCCGGGU
rnacentral:rRNA from 1 species